ensembl:snoRNA small nucleolar RNA SNORD41
CUGGAGAUGAUGCAUAAAAAAAACAUCUGACUUGUUGCUGAUGGUGUUUGUAUUCAUACUGUCUGAUCCAG